rnacentral:rRNA from 1 species
AAUCAACGCUGGCGGCGUGCCUAACACAUGCAAGUCGAACGCGAAAGGGGCGCAAGCCCUGAGUAGAGUGGCAAACGGGUGAGUAACACGUGGGUGACCUGCCUUCGAGUGGGGGAUAACGUCCCGAAAGGGACGCUAAUACCGCAUAACAUCCUGCCCUUGGACGGGUGGAGAUCAAAGCUGGGGAUCGCAAGACCUGGCGCUUAGAGAGGGGCCCGCGCCUGAUUAGCAGUUGGUGGGGUAACGGCC